rnacentral:miRNA from 1 species
CCUUGAGCUCACUUUGUAGCCCAGGCUGGUCUUGAACUCACAGCAAUCCUCCUGUCUCAGCCUCCUGAGUACUGGGAU